CCGGAGUCACGCCCGGACAUGUUUCGCGCUUCGUUUUCUUCUUCUCACAGCAGGAUCGUCGUCAGCUGCCCGAAGGAGGAGCCUGAAACCAAUCAGCUGGGACUCGGCAGGCAGCGAAAAAUUGGGGGCGGGGCCAAAUAAAAGGCUAAUUUUGCCGAUUGCCAGGAGUUCGAUCUUGGCCAGCUCAAGGUUGACUCAGCCUUCUAUCCUUUUGAGCAACGAAAGCCUUUUCAUGCUCUGCGGAAACUCUGUCCUUGUAAUUUCAAUGAACUUCUUUUUUCCUGCUUUAUCUGCA